ACCAAUAUUCAGAUAAGCAGAGAUUAACACCAGACAAAUAUCAAUCAGAAAACAAUACCCUGAUCAAGGACCUACCAAGGAGAAGACCACACCGGCACUGAUACGGAGAUCAUCAGGCAAGUCAAAGGAACUGUUCAGGACAUCAGAAUAUAUACACAGUAGGAGGAGUCAAAUGAUGCCUUGGAAAAUAUUGUCCUGAAAUGAAAUCUAUAUAUAGUAUAGGAAGCCUCAGUCUGAGUGCAACAUGGUGAAACAGACUGCCUCCAGAUCAAUCUUCAACAGAUAUUUUUUGCAGGAGAGACCAUGGAUGUGUCCGGAGUCAACAAUUCUCUAUUUUUUAUGGUGGGACUUCUACUCUUACAAUUUAAUAAAGGGCUGAUAGUAUCUCU